GUCCUAGCCUAACGAUCAGGACUUGGGUGCCACCCGUUCGGUGUCGUCCCGGAGCUAACGCGUUAAGUCCUGCACCUGGGAGUACGGUCGCAAGACUGAAACUCAAAGGAAUUGACGGGCCCGCACAAGCGGUGGAACAUGUGGUUCAAUUCGACGCUACGCGAGGAACCUUACCUGGGCUCGAAAUGCUUCUGACCAGCUGUAGAAAUACGGCCUUCCCGCAAGGGACAGGAGUAUAGGCGCUGCAUGGCUGUCGU
rnacentral:rRNA from 1 species